GGAACUUCAUGAAUAUUUGUUGAAUUAACUCUGGCCUUCAGUUGGAUGUUUAACUGUUGAAGUGAACAAUCAGAAGACACUGAAGAUCAGAAAAAUGAAGUGACAUGCUCAGCCCUUUCAAAGACAUCUCAAUCACUCCACACUGCAUUCCUGAAUGGUACAUGUUGCUGUAAUUCUUCCUUCACAGAUGAGAGAACUGGGGCUCAAGGAGACCCCAGAAUCAGCUGGCAGAGGGGAGAAGCAGCUGGACAUCAGGGACUAUGGUUGGACGUUGGAGAGAAGCGGGCUUGAUUUCAGAGGGACAGCUUGAUGGCAUAACUUCAGAGAAGAAUCAGCUGAAGAUGGCCGGACUUCAGAGGAAGAUUAUCCACAUACCUCAUCCUCUUUUCAGCUCCCCUCCCCGCUAAGAGCCACUUUCACUGGCAAUAAAAUCCCCUGCAUUUACCAGCUUCAAUUUGAUCAUGUGACUUCAUUUUUCCCUGAUGCUGGACAAAAGCUUGGGAGCCACGAGUGCAGAGGGCUGUCACACUGGCCCUUUGCCUUCACUGGCAGAGGUCAGCCGCCUCAUAUGAAAAGGCAAAGAGCCCAAUGAGCUGUUAACAC